rnacentral:misc_RNA from 1 species
ACCAUUCUUCAUAGACCAAAUCAAAUUUCACACAUCAAAAUAACAGAGGCACAGUGGGUUGUUGGUGGUGGAAGCGAUACCUUCUCCUUUAAGGCAUCAGCUAAAUAACAAUUUUGUGAUGUGAUGCUGAAACUUAUUCCUUCAUUCAUCUGAAACAGAUCUCUACUAACCUAUAUCUUUGUCCUCAAUGCUUCAACAUCCCACGACUUGCAUGUUUAAGCCUUGGCUUCAUUAUUGGGAUAUGGAAGGGAAAGAGAAUUCUCCAAUUUGCAGAUAUCUCAUACGAAACUAUCUAUGAAGUCUUUACAAGGGUAGAAUUGA